GAACAUACAAAGACAGCCUGCUCAUAGCCUCUCCGUAGUAACCAACCCUUGACCGUUCGCCAAGUGAGGCAUUGACUUCAUUGGUCCACUACCAAAAGGAAGAGGAAGUGCAACUUUCGCCAUUGUCGCCAUUGACUACUUCACUAAGUGGGUCGAGGCUGAACCCCUUGCCAGGAUUAUCGAGGCGAAUACUACCAAAUUCAUCUGGAAGAACAUCAUUUGUAGAUUCGGCAUUCCCCACUCCUUAGUGUCUGAUAAUAGAAGGCAGUUCGACAACAGGAAGAUGCGAGACUUAUGCGACGAAUUGGGCAUAAAGAAGGACUUCUUGACACCUCAUCACCCCCAAGCAAAUGGGCAAGUUGAAGCAGUGAACAAGACUAUCAAGCACGCCUUGAAAGGAAGCUUGAUACCUCAAAGGGGGCCUGGGUUGACGAACUCCCCUCACGUCCUCUAGGCUAUCAGAACUUCUUGCCGGACUGCAACAGGUAAAACACCAUUUUUCAUGACCUAAAGAGCCGAGGUCAUAAGUCCGAUCGAAGUCGGGGUCCCAUCACAUCGAUGGAUACACUUCAAUGAGAUCAGCAACGACGAGACUCGAAUAAGCGAACUACACCUCCUUGAGGAAAUGAGGGAUAUUUCCCAAGUGAACUUGGCAAAGUAUCAUCGAAAGAUGACCCGCUAUUACAACUCCAAAGUCAGAAACAGAACUCUUCGCCUGGGCGACCUCGUCCUCAGAAGAGUCUUCCAAUCUUCAAAAUCAACCGAGUCAGGAGUGUUUGGCCCG
rnacentral:lncRNA from 1 species